rnacentral:lncRNA from 1 species
UGAUUUUUGUGACAUUAUUUACUUUGAUCAAUCUCUUUCUUAGUCAAAACUCUUCCUUAUGUGAGAGUCCAUUCAAAUGCAGUGAUGCAGAGGCCAGUACUGUAGUUGAAGCUGCUGCAGAAUAUGGGGAACCCCUCCCAGUACCAUCUGAAGUGGACAAAUGGGUCUUCUUCACAAAGUAAAAGAUCAUUAACUCUUUGCAGUGUGAUCUCAGAAGAAGGUAGAAAAGGCCAGAAGAAUGCCAGAAGUCAGUAAUGUCCCUGGAACCAAUAUACAUUGGGUAUUAGGACAAGAAGAGUUCGUCUUCGCAAGAUGACCAAGAAAUCAAACUCUGUAGCAAGAAUGUGAAGUUCCAUGCCUGAUGUAAAAAAGAAAUAAUACUCUACUUUUUUCCCUGGAAUGUGUACCAUCUGAAUCAAGUACUAGUAUACAGGAAAUAAACUCGGAUCAAUCUUUUUUGUUUUCCAUGAUAAUAUAUUUACACAAUUAAAAGUGUUU